rfam:Salmo salar isolate Sally breed double haploid chromosome ssa12, whole genome shotgun sequence.
UGUAUUCACUACUGUAAGUUGCUCUGGAUAAGAGCGUCUGCUAAAUGACUUAAA